rnacentral:rRNA from 1 species
AGAGUUUGAUCCUGGCUCAGAUUGAACGCUGGCGGCAGGCCUAACACAUGCAAGUCGAGCGGAUGAAGGGAGCUUGCUCCUGGAUUCAGCGGCGGACGGGUGAGUAAUGCCUAGGAAUCUGCCUGGUAGUGGGGGAUAACGUCCGGAAACGGGCGCUAAUACCGCAUACGUCCUGAGGGAGAAAGUGGGGGAUCUUCGGACCUCACGCUAUCAGAUGAGCCUAGGUCGGAUUAGCUAGUUGGUGGGGUAAAGGCCUACCAAGGCGACGAUCCGUAACUGGUCUGAGAGGAUGAUCAGUCACACUGGAACUGAGACACGGUCCAGACUCCUACGGGAGGCAGCAGUGGGGAAUAUUGGACAAUGGGCGAAAGCCUGAUCCAGCCAUGCCGCGUGUGUGAAGAAGGUCUUCGGAUUGUAAAGCACUUUAAGUUGGGAGGAAGGGCAGUAAGUUAAUACCUUGCUGUUUUGACGUUACCAACAGAAUAAGCACCGGCUAACUUCGUGCCAGCAGCCGCGGUAAUACGAAGGGUGCAAGCGUUAAUCGGAAUUACUGGGCGUAAAGCGCGCGUAGGUGGUUCAGCAAGUUGGAUGUGAAAUCCCCGGGCUCAACCUGGGAACUGCAUCCAAAACUACUGAGCUAGAGUACGGUAGAGGGUGGUGGAAUUUCCUGUGUAGCGGUGAAAUGCGUAGAUAUAGGAAGGAACACCAGUGGCGAAGGCGACCACCUGGACUGAUACUGACACUGAGGUGCGAAAGCGUGGGGGAGCAAACAGGAUUAGAUACCCUGGUAGUCCACGCCC